UCUAGAAGCUUCGGCAAUGGGGGAAACCCUGACCGAGCGACGCCGCGUGGAGGAUGACGGCCUUCGGGUUGUAAACUCCUUUCGGCAGGAAGGAAUGCCUGGGUGGCGAACUCAGGAGUGACCGACCUGCGGAAGAAGCCCCGGCUAACUCUGUGCCAGCAGCCGCGGUAAGACAGAGGGGGCAAGCGUUAUUCGGAUUUACUGGGCGUAAAGGGCGCGUAGGCGGCUUGGUAAGUCUGGUGUGAAAACGCUACCGCUUAACGGAGCGAUUGCGCUGGAAACUGCCAAACUUGAGUCCAUGAGAGGCCGGUAGAAUACCUGGUGUAGCGGUGGAAUGCUUAGAGAUCAGGUAGAAUACCUGAGGCGAAGGCGGCCGGCUGGCAUGGUACUGACGCUGAGGCGCGAAAGCGUGGGGAGCAAACA
rnacentral:rRNA from 1 species